rnacentral:tRNA from 4 species
UGCGGGAUGGAGCAGUCUGGUAGCUCGCCGGGCUCAUAACCCGGAGGUCGUUGGUUCAAAUCCAGCUCCCGCGACCA